rnacentral:rRNA from 1 species
UACGUAGGGGGCGAGCGUUGUCCGGAUUUAUUGGGCGUAAAGAGCUCGUAGGCGGUUUGGUAAGUUGGAUGUGAAAUCUCCAGGCUCAACUUGGAGGGGUCAUUCGAUACUGCCAUGACUAGAGUUCGGUAGGGGAGUGUGGAAUUCCUGGUGGAGCGGUGAAAUGCGCAGAUAUCAGGAGGAACACCCGUAGCGAAGGCGGCACUCUGGGCCGGAACUGACGCUGAGGCGCGAAAGCGUGGGGAGCGAACAGG